AAGUUCUGCUCAUUCUCUGUUUUAAACCAAAAUAGAAAUCAAUUUUCGAAAUUGAAUUCCAGCCGGGUCCACAGGGUGCUCACCAAGCAGAGAAACGGAGGCAGCGAGGUCCAGGGAGCGGCGGAGGUGGUGGUUGUUGGCCAACGGCGGCAAAACUCCAGCGUCGACGUCGCCGGGUCGACUCAAGGCACGAACUACAACUUCGAGAGUACGGUGGUGUUAGAGAUGAGCCACAGAGGGUGCAUGCACGAGGAAUCCGACGGAAACUCACCGGAGCUUGGUGUUGCUUCGGUGGUGAGGAACGGCGGCCGGAGCGGCGUUGGCGGUUCGGGUGGCCGGCGGCGAGGACAGUGA
rnacentral:lncRNA from 1 species